UGGGGAAUAUUGCACAAUGGGGGGAAACCCUGAUGCAGCGACGCCGCGUGAAGGAAGAAGUAUCUCGGUAUGUAAACUUCUAUCAGCAGGGAAGAAAAUGACGGUACCUGACUAAGAAGCCCCGGCUAACUACGUGCC
rnacentral:rRNA from 1 species